CUAUGGGCGGUUUGAAUGCGUGCACGACUCUUGCUGUGCAUGCACAUUCAGCGCUGACGUUGGCAGGGGGUGGAGAGUUCCCCAGCACAGAGGGAACCUGGCACUGGAGCAAGGUAAGAACUACAUAGUGCCAGGAAAACAAGUUUGUUUUAAUGGCACUUUAGUGGUCCUUUAAGCUAAAGUUGUUUAUAUACCUAUAGUAUGCUUUUAAGACUAUUCAUUAUGGAGCAUUGGAUCCUGCCUUAAAAUAGGAGACAAUAGUGAUGAAGUAUUAAGGAAUAUCUUAAUCCCAACUAAUCCCUGGUGCCUAGGAAUUUUGCCUUUGCGUCUGGGAUAUGUGAGCCGGUUACCUCUGAGGCAGGCGGCAAGUUGGGGAAUUAUGGAGGUGGGCGGCAUGCUGGGGGGUCGUGGAGGUAUG